rnacentral:rRNA from 1 species
AUUGAACGCUGGCGGCAGGCUUAACACAUGCAAGUCGAGCGGAGAUGAGGUGCUUGCACCUUAUCUUAGCGGCGGACGGGUGAGUAAUGCUUAGGAAUCUGCCUAUUAGUGGGGGACAACCUUCCGAAAGGAAUGCUAAUACCGCAUACGUCCUACGGGAGAAAGCAGGGGAUCUUCGGACCUUGCGCUAAUAGAUGAGCCUAAGUCGGAUUAGCUAGUUGGUGGGGUAAAGGCCUACCAAGGCGACGAUCUGUAGCGGGUGUGAGAGGAUGAUCCGCCACACUGGGACUGAGACACGGCCCAGACUCCUACGGGAGGCAGCAGUGGGGAAUAUUGGACAAUGGGGGGACCCCUGAUCCAGCCAUGCCGCGUGUGUGAAGAAGGCCUUAUGGUUGUAAAGCACUUUAAGCGAGGAGGAGGCUACUGAGACUAAUACUCUUGGAUAGUGGACGUUACUCGCAGAAUAAGCACCGGCUAACUCUGUGCCAGCAGCCGCCGUAA